rnacentral:rRNA from 1 species
AAACUUUCAACAACGGAUCUCUUGGUUCCAGCAUCGAUGAAGAACGCAGCGAAAUGCGAUAAGUAAUGUGAAUUGCAGAAUUCAGUGAAUCAUCGAAUCUUUGAACG